GUGUCAGCAGCCGCGGUAAUACGUAGGUGGCAAGCGUUGUCCGGAUUUACUGGGCGUAAAGAGCGCGCAGGCGGUCGUUCAAGUCGAGUGUGAAAGCCCCCGGCUCAACUGGGGAGGGUCGCUCGAUACUGGAUGACUCGAAGGCAGGAGAGGGAAGUGGAAUUCCCGGUGUAGUGGUGAAAUGCGUAGAUAUCGGGAGGAACACCAGUGGCGAAGGCGACUUCCUGGCCUGUUCUUGACGCUGAGGCGCGAAAGCUAGGGGAGCAAACGGGAUUAGAAACCCGAGUAGUCC
rnacentral:rRNA from 1 species